ACGCAGAGGACACACCUGAAAUUACCCAUCUCGAAUAGCGUUGUGACUGAGGUAACUGCGCAUCGAAUCUACUCAGCGGCGAGGCUAUUCCAGUAAGGUUGUUUUGGGCCAGCG
rnacentral:pre_miRNA from 1 species